rnacentral:rRNA from 1 species
UACGUAGGGUGCAAGCGUUAAUCGGAAUUACUGGGCGUAAAGGGCUCGUAGGCGGUCUGUUGCGUCGGGAGUGAAAACUCAGGGCUUAACCCUGAGCCUGCUUCCGAUACGGGCAGACUAGAGGUAUGCAGGGGAGAACGGAAUUCCUGGUGUAGCGGUGAAAUGCGCAGAUAUCAGGAGGAACACCGGUGGCGAAGGCGGUUCUCUGGGCAUUACCUGACGCUGAGGAGCGAAAGUGUGGGGAGCGAACAGG